UUUGAUGGGGCUUCCUUAUGAAUCAAGGUAUAUUUCUAGUCCACAGGGAUGGACUCUCCCUGCCAAGUGCCUUCAUGGGAACCAUGUGACAGUUAAAUUUGAUUCAGGCAAGAUGCUCCUCUGGGCAAAUUUCAUUUGAAACCAUAGCAGUCAGAGACCAUAUAUUGGAGCCCACAAUGUGUCAGAAGCAUGGCAUGCUCUGUGCAGCCUUUUUCAUCCUGUUUGCUUCCAUAUACAAAGUGUCUCUGCAUAUGAGUCCCAGGAGGUUUGGUGACUUUUUAAUAUUCCCCAGAGUUACCUUUCAAAGCAGCGAGGUUACUUGAGUUCCAGCCUAGAGGCUGGAUUCAAUGCUGAGCAGCAACUCUAGAGAGAAGAUGCAGACUGCAGCUGUUGUUUAGCAUCUUUGAGCAUUAACUAUUCUCACUCUCAGAAAAUGGAGUAUUUAGAGAGCAGUCACUGGAGGAGGCCAAAGGUUUUAGCAAGAGAACUGUUUUACAUUCAACAGCUAUUAAACAAGUCACACCCUUCUUCCUGCAGUCUGUAAGUAUGGUCACUCAGUGGAGCUCAUGGGAAUAAAUACACUUGGAGGAGAUCAAAUCCCAGUGUUCCUGGUCUGUGGGGCAUGAGUUCCCCAGUUACUCUUUCUCCAAGCACUCAGCAAGGUGUGGUGAUUCUAAGACUGAGUUAGCUCUGAGUGUCAUUUCAAAUUCUGGAAACAAAGUAAUGACUGUUAAAAUUAGCAUACUUUGGUAACUUUGAGCAAGGGUCACAGACAUUGGCACUGGCUAGCAAAAUCUCAGAGCUAUGGAAUUUCACUCAAGUGCGA
rnacentral:lncRNA from 1 species